rnacentral:rRNA from 1 species
GGUUAAGCGACUAAGCGUACACGGUGGAUGCCCUGGCAGUCAGAGGCGAUGAAGGACGUGCUAAUCUGCGAUAAGCGUCGGUAAGGUGAUAUGAACCGUUAUAACCGGCGAUUUCCGAAUGGGGAAACCCAGUGUGUUUCGACACACUAUCAUUAACUGAAUCCAUAGGUUAAUGAGGCGAACCGGGGGAACUGAAACAUCUAAGUACCCCGAGGAAAAGAAAUCAACCGAGAUUCCCCCAGUAGCGGCGAGCGAACGGGGAGCAGCCCAGAGCCUGAAUCAGUAUGUGUGUUAGUGGAAGCGUCUGGAAAGGCGCGCGAUACAGGGUGACAGCCCCGUACACAAAAAUGCACAUAUUGUGAGCUCGAUGAGUAGGGCGGGACACGUGGUAUCCUGUCUGAAUAUGGGGGGACCAUCCUCCAAGGCUAAAUACUCCUGACUGACCGAUAGUGAACCAGUACCGUGAGGGAAAGGCGAAAAGAACCCCGGCGAGGGGAGUGAAAAAGAACCUGAAACCGUGUACGUACAAGCAGUGGGAGCACGCUUAGGCGUGUGACUGCGUACCUUUUGUAUAAUGGGUCAGCGACUUAUAUUCUGUAGCAAGGUUAACCGAAUAGGGGAGCCGAAGGGAAACCGAGUCUUAACUGGGCGUUAAGUUGCAGGGUAUAGACCCGAAACCCGGUGAUCUAGCCAUGGGCAGGUUGAAGGUUGGGUAACACUAACUGGAGGACCGAACCGACUAAUGUUGAAAAAUUAGCGGAUGACUUGUGGCUGGGGGUGAAAGGCCAAUCAAACCGGGAGAUAGCUGGUUCUCCCCGAAAGCUAUUUAGGUAGCGCCUCGUGAACUCAUCUCCGGGGGUAGAGCACUGUUUCGGCAAGGGGGUCAUCCCGACUUACCAACCCGAUGCAAACUGCGAAUACCGGAGAAUGUUAUCACGGGAGACACACGGCGGGUGCUAACGUCCGUCGUGAAGAGGGAAACAACCCAGACCGCCAGCUAAGGUCCCAAAGUCAUGGUUAAGUGGGAAACGAUGUGGGAAGGCCCAGACAGCCAGGAUGUUGGCUUAGAAGCAGCCAUCAUUUAAAGAAAGCGUAAUAGCUCACUGGUCGAGUCGGCCUGCGCGGAAGAUGUAACGGGGCUAAACCAUGCACCGAAGCUGCGGCAGCGACGCUUAUGCGUUGUUGGGUAGGGGAGCGUUCUGUAAGCCUGUGAAGGUGUGCUGUGAGGCAUGCUGGAGGUAUCAGAAGUGCGAAUGCUGACAUAAGUAACGAUAAAGCGGGUGAAAAGCCCGCUCGCCGGAAGACCAAGGGUUCCUGUCCAACGUUAAUCGGGGCAGGGUGAGUCGACCCCUAAGGCGAGGCCGAAAGGCGUAGUCGAUGGGAAACAGGUUAAUAUUCCUGUACUUGGUGUUACUGCGAAGGGGGACGGAGAAGGCUAUGUUGGCCGGGCGACGGUUGUCCCGGUUUAAGCGUGUAGGCUGGUUUUCCAGGCAAAUCCGGAAAAUCAAGGCUGAGGCGUGAUGACGAGGCACUACGGUGCUGAAGCAACAAAUGCCCUGCUUCCAGGAAAAGCCUCUAAGCAUCAGGUAACAUCAAAUCGUACCCCAAACCGACACAGGUGGUCAGGUAGAGAAUACCAAGGCGCUUGAGAGAACUCGGGUGAAGGAACUAGGCAAAAUGGUGCCGUAACUUCGGGAGAAGGCACGCUGAUAUGUAGGUGAAGUCCCUUGCGGAUGGAGCUGAAAUCAGUCGAAGAUACCAGCUGGCUGCAACUGUUUAUUAAAAACACAGCACUGUGCAAACACGAAAGUGGACGUAUACGGUGUGACGCCUGCCCGGUGCCGGAAGGUUAAUUGAUGGGGUCAGCGCAAGCGAAGCUCUUGAUCGAAGCCCCGGUAAACGGCGGCCGUAACUAUAACGGUCCUAAGGUAGCGAAAUUCCUUGUCGGGUAAGUUCCGACCUGCACGAAUGGCGUAAUGAUGGCCAGGCUGUCUCCACCCGAGACUCAGUGAAAUUGAACUCGCUGUGAAGAUGCAGUGUACCCGCGGCAAGACGGAAAGACCCCGUGAACCUUUACUAUAGCUUGACACUGAACAUUGAGCCUUGAUGUGUAGGAUAGGUGGGAGGCUUGGAAGUGUGGACGCCAGUCUGCAUGGAGCCGACCUUGAAAUACCACCCUUUAAUGUUUGAUGUUCUAACGUUGACCCGUAAUCCGGGGUGCGGACAGUGUCUGGUGGGUAGUUUGACUGGGGCGGUCUCCUCCUAAAGAGUAACGGAGGAGCACGAAGGUUGGCUAAUCCUGGUCGGACAUCAGGAGGUUAGUGCAAUGGCAUAAGCCAGCUUGACUGCGAGCGUGACGGCGCGAGCAGGUGCGAAAGCAGGUCAUAGUGAUCCGGUGGUUCUGAAUGGAAGGGCCAUCGCUCAACGGAUAAAAGGUACUCCGGGGAUAACAGGCUGAUACCGCCCAAGAGUUCAUAUCGACGGCGGUGUUUGGCACCUCGAUGUCGGCUCAUCACAUCCUGGGGCUGAAGUAGGUCCCAAGGGUAUGGCUGUUCGCCAUUUAAAGUGGUACGCGAGCUGGGUUUAGAACGUCGUGAGACAGUUCGGUCCCUAUCUGCCGUGGGCGCUGGAGAACUGAGGGGGGCUGCUCCUAGUACGAGAGGACCGGAGUGGACGCAUCACUGGUGUUCGGGUUGUCAUGCCAAUGGCACUGCCCGGUAGCUAAAUGCGGAAGAGAUAAGUGCUGAAAGCAUCUAAGCACGAAACUUGCCCCGAGAUGAGUUCUCCCUGACUCCUUGAGAGUCCUGAAGGAACGUUGAAGACGACGACGUUGAUAGGCCGGGUGUGUAAGCGCAGCGAUGCGUUGAGCUAACCGGUACUAAUGAACCGUGAGGCUUAACCUU